AAAAGAGAAAUCUUUGAAAGUUGUACAAACCUUGCCACCACUCUCUCCCAUGUGACCAGUCCCUUUCACACAUUUCUCACUCUCUUUUAUUCACCCAAAACACAACAAAAUAUUCCCUCUCAUGAAGCAAAGCACAAAGCAACAACUCACCAUUUUAAUUUUGCCAAAAUUUCCAAACUUUCCCAUAACAUAAUUCUCAACAUGAGUUGCCUUCUAACCACACUCAUUUCACUCUAUGAAACUCUCUUUCACCCUCACAAACUUCACACACGCAUUGCAAGCAAGAAAAAUCAGAUCUCCAACAUUUCUCUAUUUUCUCCAUUUCUCUUCUUUGAAGCUCUUGCUACUUGGUAUUUUCCGGUUCUCUCUUGCCUCAUUCAUAUCAUCUUAAGAUCAUAG